ACGAACGCUGGCGGCACGCUUAACACAUGCAAGUCGAACGAGAGAAGAGAAGCUUGCUUUUCUGAUCUAGUGGCGGACGGGUGAGUAACACGUGAGCAAUCUGCCUUUCAGAGGGGGAUACCGAUUGGAAACGAUCGUUAAUACCGCAUAACAUAAUUGAACCGCAUGAUUUGAUUAUCAAAGAUUUAUCGCUGAAAGAUGAGCUCGCGUCUGAUUAGCUAGUUGGUAAGGUAACGGCUUACCAAGGCGACGAUCAGUAGCCGGACUGAGAGGUUGAUCGGCCACAUUGGGACUGAGACACGGCCCAGACUCCUACGGGAGGCAGCAGUGGGGAAUAUUGCACAAUGGAGGAAACUCUGAUGCAGCGAUGCCGCGUGAGGGAAGAAGGUUUUAGGAUUGUAAACCUCUGUCUUCAGGGACGAAAAAUGACGGUACCUGAGGAGGAAGCUCCGGCUAACUACGUGCCAGCAGCCGCGGUAAUACGUAGGGAGCGAGCGUUGUCCGGAAUUACUGGGUGUAAAGGGAGCGUAGGCGGGAUCGCAAGUCAGAUGUGAAAACUAUGGGCUUAACCCAUAAACUGCAUUUGCAACUGUGGUUCUGGAGUGAAGUAGAGGUAAGCGGAAUUCCUAGUGUAGCGGUGAAAUGCGUAGAUAUUAGGAGGAACAUCAGUGGCGAAGGCGGCUUACUGGGCUUUAACUGACGCUGAGGCUCGAAAGCGUGGGGAGCAAACAGGAUUAGAUACCCUGGUAGUCCACGCCGUAAACGAUGAUUACUAGGUGUGGGGGGACUGACCCCUUCCGUGCCGCAGCAAACGCAAUAAGUAAUCCACCUGGGGAGUACGACCGCAAGGUUGAAACUCAAAGGAAUUGACGGGGGCCCGCACAAGCAGUGGAGUAUGUGGAUUAAUUCGAAGCAACGCGAAGAACCUUACCAGGUCUUGACAUCGUAUGCAUAGCUCAGAGAUGAGUGAAAUCUCUUCGGAGACAUAUAGACAGGUGGUGCAUGGUUGUCGUCAGCUCGUGUCGUGAGAUGUUGGGUUAAGUCCCGCAACGAGCGCAACCCUUACUGUUAGUUGCUACGCAAGAGCACUCUAGCAGGACUGCCGUUGACAAAACGGAGGAAGGUGGGGAUGACGUCAAAUCAUCAUGCCCCUUAUGACCUGGGCCUCACACGUACUACAAUGGCUGUCAACAGAGGGAAGCAAAGCCGCGAGGUGGAGCAAACCCCUAAAAGCAGUCUUAGUUCGGAUUGUAGGCUGCAACCCGCCUACAUGAAGUCGGAAUUGCUAGUAAUCGCAGAUCAGCAUGCUGCGGUGAAUACGUUCCCGGGCCUUGUACACACCGCCCGUCACGCCAUGGGAGUCGGUAACACCCGAAGCCUGUAGUCUAACCGCAAGGAGGACGCAGUCGAAGGUGGGAUUGAUGACUGGGGUG
rnacentral:rRNA from 1 species